AUGUAUCAUAGCUCUUUAGCUAUCGGGGUAUAUGGUUGCUAAGUUGAAGAUUUCCAUCAUUUGGUAUCAGAGCUCGGCUCAAGUUUGAGGUUUGCGUAUCUAUUUAUUUGCUAUCUUUUAGAUUUUUUUUCUUUUCUCUUCUUCUUCUGUUUGGCCAAUAUCUAUAAUUAUUGUUCUUCUUUCAUCUUCAUUGUUGUGCUUCUUGCAUUAUUACUAUUCUUAUUUGUAAUUCCAUACUUUAUGGUAUAAAAAAAAAAGAUGAAAAAGUCAAAAAAAAAAAAGAAGAGAGAAAAUCAAAGGCUAAAAAAAAAGAGAGGGAAAAUCAAAGGUAAAAAAAAAAAAAAGAGACCAGAUGAGCUUGCGACGAUCCACUUGGCGAGUUCCGAUGAGCUUCUUUGGCAAGCUCCUGGACUUCUCGGAUUUGUUCCCGCAGAACCUCCGACGACUGUCCGAACUUUCGUAAAACUCUCGAACUCCCAACGUGAUCAUUGUCUUGACUCCGGCGUAACUCCUGCUGCAUGUCUUUCUUCCAUCGUAGUUAAUCCUGCACA
rnacentral:lncRNA from 1 species